AAACCAACAGGGAUUACCUCAGUAACGGCGAGUGAAGCGGUAACAGCUCAAAUUUGAAAUCUGGGUCUUUCAGGCUCCGAGUUGUAAUUUGUAGAAGAUGCUUCGGGUGCGGCUCCGGUCUAAGUUCCUUGGAACAGGACGUCAUAGAGGGUGAGAAUCCCGUAUGUGAUCGGUUGCUUGCGCCCAUGUGAAGCUCUUUCGACGAGUCGAGUUGUUUGGGAAUGCAGCUCAAAAUGGGUGGUAAAUUUCAUCUAAAGCUAAAUAUUGGCCAGAGACCGAUAGCGCACAAGUAGAGUGAUCGAAAGAUGAAAAGCACUUUGGAAAGAGAGUUAAACAGUACGUGAAAUUGUUGAAAGGGAAGCGCUUGCAACCAGACUUGCGCGUCGCUGAUCAUCCGGGGUUCUCCCCGGUGCACUCGGCUUCGCUCAGGCCAGCAUCGGUUUUGGUGGUGGGAUAAAGGCCUUGGGAAUGUAGCUUCUUUCGGGGAGUGUUAUAGCCCUCGGUGCAAUGCCGCCUACUGGGACCGAGGACCGCGCUUCGGCUAGGAUGCUGGCGUAAUGGUUGUAAGCGAC
rnacentral:rRNA from 1 species